rnacentral:rRNA from 1 species
AAUAUUGGACAAUGGGGGAAACCCUGAUCCAGCCAUACUGUGUGUGUGAGGAAGGUCUAUGGAUUGUACAACCUUUUCAGUUGGGAGGAAGAGUUGUAGGCUAAUACCUUGCACUUUUGACGUUACCAACAGAAUAAGCAACGUCUAACUACUUGCCAGUAGCCGUGGUAAUGAGAAGGGUGCAAGCGUUAAUCGGAAUUAUGGGGCGUAAAUCUCGCGUAGGUGGUUCGUUAAGUAGGAAGUGAAAGCCCCGGGCUUAACCUAGGAAUUGCUUUCAAAACUGACGGGCUAGAGUACGGUAGAGGGUAGUGGAAUUUCCUGUGUAGCGGUGAAAUGCGUAGAUAUAGAAAGGAACAACAGUGGCGAAGGCGACUACCUGGACUGAUACUGACACUGAGGUGCGAAAGCGUGGGGAGCAAACAGG